ACUCCUACGGGAGGCAGCAGUGGGGAAUUUUGGACAAUGGGGGCAACCCUGAUCCAGCAAUGCCGCGUGAGUGAAGAAGGCCUUCGGGUUGUAAAGCUCUUUUGUCAGGGAAGAAACGGUGGUGGCGAAUAACUACUACUAAUGACGGUACCUGAAGAAUAAGCACCGGCUAACUACGUGCCAGCAGCCGCGGUAAUACGUAGGGUGCAAGCGUUAAUCGGAAUUACUGGGCGUAAAGCGUGCGCAGGCGGUUGUGUAAGUCAGAUGUGAAAUCCCCGGGCUCAACCUGGGAAUUGCAUUUGAGACUGCACGGCUAGAGUGUGUCAGAGGGGGGUAGAAUUCCACGUGUAGCAGUGAAAUGCGUAGAUAUGUGGAGGAAUACCGAUGGCGAAGGCAGCCCCCUGGGAUAACACUGACGCUCAUGCACGAAAGCGUGGGGAGCAAACAGGAUUAGAUACCCGAGUAGUCCCAUGAU
rnacentral:rRNA from 1 species